GAGUAAAGCGGCGGACGGGUGUAGAACACGUGAGAAUCUGCCCUCUAGUGAAGAAUACCUCCGAGAAAUCGGGGCUAAUACUGCAUAAUCCCUUCGGGGAAAAGGUGGCUUUAUGCUGCCGCUAGAGGAUGAGCUUGCGCGCUAUUAGCUUGUUGGUGGGGUAAAGGCCUACCAAGGCGAUGAUGGCUAGCCGGCCUGAGAGGGUGUACGGCCACAUUGGGACUGAGAUACGGCCCAGACUCCUACGGGAGGCAGCAGUGAGGAAUAUUGCGCAAUGGGCGAAAGCCUGACGCAGCGACGCCGCGUGAAGGAUGACGGUCUUCGGAUUGUAAACUUCUGUUAAGUGGGAAGAAAGACCAAUCUCUAAUAUAGAUUGGGCAUGACGGUACCACUAGAGAAAGCACCGGCUAACUUCGUGCCAGCAGCCGCGGUAAUACGAGGGGUGCAAACGUUAUUCGGAUUUACUGGGCGUAAAGGGUGUGUAGACGGGAUGCUAAGUUCGUUGUUAAAUCUUUCGGCUUAACCGAAAGCUUGCGAUGAAAACUAGCGUUCUUGAGGGUGAAAGAGAGAAGUGGAAUUCUCGGAGUAGCGGUAAAAUGCGUAGAUCUCGAGAGGAACACCGAUGGCGAAGGCAGCUUCUUGGUUCACUCCUGACGUUGAGACACGAAAGCGUGGGUAGCAAACAGGAUUAGAUACCCUGGUAGUCCACGCUGUAAACAAUGAUCACUGGAUGUCAGCUUUGCUUAGCAAGGUUGGUAUCGAAGCUAACGCGUUAAGUGAUCCGCCUGGGAAUUACGGUCGCAAGAUUAAAACUCAAAGGAAUUGACGGGGGUCCGCACAAGCGGUGGAACAUGUGGUUUAAUUCGACACUACGCGAGGAACCUUACCUGGACUUG
rnacentral:rRNA from 1 species